rnacentral:rRNA from 1 species
AGAGUUUGAUCCUGGCUCAGAUUGAACGCUGGCGGCAUGCCUUACACAUGCAAGUCGAACGGCAGCGCGGGGCAACCUGGCGGCGAGUGGCGAACGGGUGAGUAAUAUAUCGGAACAUACCCUAGAGUGGGGGAUAACGUAGCGAAAGUUACGCUAAUACUGCAUACGCACUAAGGUGGAAAGUGGGGGAUUCGCAAGAACCUCAUGCUCAUGGAGUGGCCGAUAUCUGAUUAGCUAGUUGGUGAGGUAAAGGCUCACCAAGGCGACGAUCAGUAGCUGGUUUGAGAGAACGACCAGCCACACUGGAACUGAGACACGGUCCAGACUCCUACGGGAGGCAGCAGUGGGGAAUUUUGGACAAUGGGGGCAACCCUGAUCCAGCAAUGCCGCGUGAGUGAAGAAGGCCUUCGGGUUGUAAAGCUCUUUUGUCAGGGAAGAAACGGUGAGUUCUAAUAAAGCUUGCUAAUGACGGUACCUGAAGAAUAAGCACCGGCUAACUACGUGCCAGCAGCCGCGGUAAUACGUAGGGUGCAAGCGUUAAUCGGAAUUACUGGGCGUAAAGCGUGCGCAGGCGGUUAUAUAAGUCAGAUGUGAAAUCCCUGGGCUCAACCUAGGAACUGCAUUUGAGACUGUAUGGCUAGAGUGUGUCAGAGGGGGGUAGAAUUCCACGUGUAGCAGUGAAAUGCGUAGAUAUGUGGAGGAAUACCGAUGGCGAAGGCAGCCCCCUGGGAUAACACUGACGCUCAUGCACGAAAGCGUGGGGAGCAAACAGGAUUAGAUACCCUGGUAGUCCACGCCCUAAACGAUGUCUACUAGUUGUCGGGUCUUAAUUGACUUGGUAACGCAGCUAACGCGUGAAGUAGACCGCCUGGGGAGUACGGUCGCAAGAUUAAAACUCAAAUGAAUUGACGG